rnacentral:rRNA from 1 species
AUUGAACGCUGGCGGCAGGCUUAACACAUGCAAGUCGAGCGGGGGAAGGUAGCUUGCUACCGGACCUAGCGGCGGACGGGUGAGUAAUGCUUAGGAAUCUGCCUAUUAGUGGGGGACAACAUCUCGAAAGGGAUGCUAAUACCGCAUACGUCCUACGGGAGAAAGCAGGGGAUCUUCGGACCUUGCGCUAAUAGAUGAGCCUAAGUCGGAUUAGCUAGUUGGUGGGGUAAAGGCCUACCAAGGCGACGAUCUGUAGCGGGUCUGAUAGGAUGAUCCGCCACACUGGGACUGAGACACGGCCCAGACUCCUACGGGAGGCAGCAGUGGGGAAUAUUGGACAAUGGGGGGAACCCUGAUCCAGCCAUGCCGCGUGUGUGAAGAAGGCCUUAUGGUUGUAAAGCACUUUAAGCGAGGAGGAGGCUACUCUAGUUAAUACCUAGGGAUAGUGGACGUUACUCACAGAAUAAGCACCGGCUAACUCUGUGCCAGCCGCCGCCGUAA